GGCCUCUUCUGCAGGUCGCAUUGCUCGAGCAUUCUGUAGGGAGGGCCUCGAGAGAAGCAGAGAACCUGGUGACUGCAGUCACAGCACUAAAGGUUGAACCUGCGCAGAGCCCGGCUCCAGCGAUAACAACGAGGGUCCUCCGGAACCAUUGCUCCUGCUCACACAAAUGAGGGCAUGAUGCUUGCCUGGAGAGCCGUUCACCUAGUGCUGUUCACUCAUACUAAGGGCCCCCUCCCUCCCUCCCUCCCUCCC